rnacentral:rRNA from 1 species
CGAAAGUUUGGCUAAUACCGCGUAAGCUCCAAGGAGGAAAGUAGGGGACCUAAAUAAGGCCUUACGCAUUUGAUCGGCCGAUGUCGGAUUAGCUAGUUGUGGGGUAAUGGCUCACCAAGGCAAUGAUCCGUAGCGGGUCUGAGAGGACGAUCCGCCACACUGGGACUGAGACACGGCCCAG